rnacentral:rRNA from 1 species
UACGGAGGGUGCAAGCGUUAUCCGGAUUCACUGGGUUUAAAGGGUGCGUAGGAGGGCAGGUAAGUCAGUGGUGAAAUCCCCCGAGCUUAACUUGGGAACUGCCGUUGAUACUAUCUGUCUUGAAUAUUGUGGAGGUAAGCGGAAUAUGUCAUGUAGCGGUGAAAUGCUUAGAUAUGACAUAGAACACCAAUUGCGAAGGCAGCUUACUACACAAUCAUUGACUCUAAUGCACGAAAGCGUGGGGAUCAAACAGG